rfam:Lupinus angustifolius cultivar Tanjil chromosome LG15, whole genome shotgun sequence.
UUUCUCCAUAUGAACACAUUUGUUACAUACUUGAUGGAUUAAAUGAAGAAUAUCAACCGGUGAUAACCACAAUUGAAAGACAUAUGGAUUUACCAACUGUUCAUAACCUAGAAUCGUUCUUGUUAACAUUUGAGU